GCACAUGCGCAGAAUCAUCGUGGUGCACGGCUCUCCCUUUGCUUCUUCGGUUGCAGUCCUCUUGCUUCUUGCGCGUGCGUGUAGCGCUUUUGCAAAGCCGCGGAGGUGAAGUGAACUUAGAGGUUGUGGGGCCGAGGGGUCGUCUUAUAGCUACCAGCCCACAGGCAUUUAGUCUACGUUGGAGGUAAACAAAUACGGGUCCUGCUUAGGAGAAAAGAAAAACGUCUUACAGCCAGUGUCUAAACUCCAAACAACGGAAUGUAUCAAUGAGACCUUGUAUAUGGAUACACGUGCAUUUAAAACCGCCCUGCCGGCUUGUAGAGCUUUUGCCGUUCUCCAGCGCUUUACAGGGGUUAUCGCACUUAAGCCUCGGAACAACUUUACCAGAUGAGGACACCUGAGGUUCAGAUUAAGAAAUCUGCCCCAAAGUCUUAGAACUGGUAUUCUCCACUGGUUGAAUGCAAAUGGAAGCCAGAGGAAAAGGGAACCCUUGACACAGUUUUCAUAUAGAUUGGCCUCCAGGGCAGACAGCAGGAGUGGGGUUUAAUCUGGACUGAAUUGGAGGAAAGGAACUGGCACCAGAGUGGAGGCUGGAAGGAUGGUGGAACUGACACUGGGACAGAACACAGAAAACAGAAUCUAAUGCUAUUGCUCUGGCUAUAUCAAAUAAAAGUGUCAAGAGUGAGCAUCCUUGCCUUGUGCUGAAUCACAAAGGAAUACCUUUCAGUUUUUCUCCAUUGAUUAUGAUAGCAGUGGGCUUUUCACAGUGGGCUUUACUGUGUUGAGGAGGAGGUCUGAUGGCCGGGAGGACAGGAAGAAGGAACCCACAAUGAAGCAAAAGUUGCGUUUAACUCUGUCCUCACCAUUCCUCUCCUGGACCUGUCCUAAACUGGAAGCUGGGGGAGGAUGGAGUGCUGGAAUGCUGCAGAAGUCUCAUGGGAGGGCGCCUGGUGUUCACCACAUGUGUACACUGUUGCACGACCAGGUUGGCACUUUGCAUGUGGGAAACGAUCAGAGAAUGGUGGGGGAUGCUUAAGAGGCAUCACUGGAAUCCUACGGUACCACAGACCAGAGCCUUCCCUUCCCUUCCUCUCCCACAGAUGGAAAUUUGAAUGCUGGGGCUCAGUGGAACACCUGAAGGAAGCUGGUGAGGCAGAUGUCCCGCUAUGCCUUCCAAGUGUCAUGCAACCAGUUCAUGCCUGUCAGCAUCUCUGCCGGUGGACUCUGUGAGUCAGCAAAUCUACAGAGCAGAGAGCCACAAGUGGGGACAGAUGUGGUCAAAUGCCAUUUAAAUCAGUGAUUCUCAACCCAGGAGUUGUCAUGGCACUGGCCUUGAGUGAGCUGGACCAAGGGAAGUGGUAGAAUUCCCCAUGAAGGACCAAGUGAGCAGAUAGAAGUUUCUCCAUUUUAACUUUUUCUGAGUCAAUUUAAAAAACACCUAGUGCCUUUUUCUGU
ensembl:lncRNA DLEU1 deleted in lymphocytic leukemia 1